GCGGCGGGCAGGAGGAGGGCUGGUUCGUAGGAAAGCGCGAAGGAGUGAAGUCGGGCUUCCGGGAGCAUCUCACGUGUGAGUAAAUACCUGAAUUUCUUUGGAUGUUGGGGAGGAAAGAGGCUUUGUGUGUUCUCCCCUUCUCUAUAAAACCAAGCCUACCCACAGUCCGCCUUGCGGGUUAAAUGUUACCUGGGCGUCCUGGGUUCCUCGACCUUUCCCAACUUACCCAGCAGCUUGAGGGUCCUGUUUUUCUCUUUAUGGUCCUGUCAUUUUGCCCAUACAGCCAGGAAGCUCUAGCGUUUUUCUCAGCGAGGUUUUCGAAAAUUACUAGGUGUUGCCUCCGCCGUGUUGCUUAGGAGGAGGUCAGCCUUCUGCAGGUGUUGCAGCUAACAUUUACGUGUCAGCGACGCUUUCCGAAUGGAUCCUCAAAUGUUUUCUGGUCCUGGUGGUGUCUGUAGCACAGUGCAGAGACGCUGGCAGAAGUGUGCAUGCCUGCGCUGCUUCCCAGCGUACUGAUUGGACAUCUGGUCAAGACAAGAUCUUGAAUAAUAUGAAAGAUGACCCAAAUUAGUAGGUCCUUGCCCCUCUUAGAAGCAGAAUCUGGUUAUGUAGCCAUGCUUUCUGAUGCAAGUGCAGUUAGAACAAAAAAGCACCUGAAUUUACUGAGGUUGCAUAUCUUUAUAAAAUAGCCAGCAGCCAGCUGGUUAGAGCAUUGCUGUAAGAGACAGGCAUUUGUGCUCAAAGUACUUUUUGAGUUUGGAGUCUGGCUAAAAACCAAGUUAUGUUUGGUUCUGGGAAUGGGCCAUAGAGUAUUAAUAGUGAAGACAGAUGCGAUCAAACAUCUGCCUUUAUCUGUAUUUUACAUGGCUUCUCCAUCAUAUAUUUUCUCAGCAGGGCUUCCUUAGGUGCCUAACUCAGGGCCAAGGACUCUACUGAUUGGUAAUGUGCCAAAAAUAAGGUAUUUCAGCAUAGAUUAUUUCUGAGGAUCUUGACUAUGAGGUCUUAUGGUUCCAGUUUGCCAUAUCCUGAGUAUAAAUCAACAGAAAGGAUAGUAGAUGUAGCUAUUUUUCAGUACAAGGCAGGCAACUUCUAAAUUACAAAGCAAUUCAGGAAACUUCAUAGAAGCAUGCUGAUGUCUUAGUUUCUCAUUACACUUGGAGUUGAACUUCCAUGCACCUGAAGUCACAACGCCUGAGUUAAUCCUGUAGUGCUCUCAACAGCACUCUUACCUCCUGCAUCCUGCCUGUAUUGCUUGAACUGAAUUGCCAGGGUGUAGGGUUUUUUUGUGUUUGAACUACUGUUUUGCUGUCUUAAGAGGUGCCGUAAAGGCCCAUGUUUUGUUUCAACUCUUCAAGACUUAUCCAAAGCUCAGCUGCUUUAAUAAUAGCAAGAAAAGCUUGGAAAUGCAUGCUGAAACUGCCCCUGCAAGCAGUCAGCUAACAUUGAUACGCUAUCACUUGUAUGAAAGAAGAGAGACUAUUUCAGCUAAGUGUGAUGCUGGCCUCACACUCUGAGAUCGCCCUGGAAGCUGACCCCAGGAGGAGUACAUCCCUAAAUUCUUAAGAAGAAAGAAGGAAACUGCAGUGGUGUUCUGUAUCUACCCAGUAUUAGUUAACUCAUUAGGUUUUAGCUUAAUUGAAAUUCCAAAGUCAUCUGUGAGUCUCCAGAACCACUUUGCUACCUGCUGUGUGAAACUCGUGGACCGAUAAAACUCGUGGACCGAUAAAACCCGUGGACCGAAUAGUUCUCUUUGGAUCCCCCUUUCCCAUAUCUUUUCACCCCCAGUAAUUGUCCAUGCAGAGUUUCUUUGUGUAUGCCUAUACACUGUGUCAAGCGUUGCCUUGUCAUGCUGCAAGACUUGCCCAAUCUGUUAGGAGUUAGGAGACCAAAUGCUGUUAGUAUGUGUACAGUUGCAGAGUAGUUUAUGCUAGAGAGAACUCUGUGUUCCAAAUCGGCGUUUGGCAUGCUGAUCAUUCUCUGCAGCUUGAAACUGAGAUGCAAAGUUAAUACGCCACUUCUUGGAAAGUAAUGUUAGGAACAGUGAAAGUUAAUUCUAGAAUUCUCCUUGUAAACAAGUACACAUUGCCUGACGUGUUGUUAAGCUGAAAAGCAACUCCUGAAAUAACUGCAAAAAAGUUGAUAACGGAAGAAAGAUUUAGCUUCAACACCAGGAUUUAAGGUGUCCUCUCACUUGAUGUCAAAGGCAGUUGUGGUAUCUCAAGCAUCUGGGUUCAUUGGCAAAUAGAGCAAACCUCGGCACAUAUGUAGGAACUCAAUCUCAGGAAAAUAGUCAUGUAGCAUGGAACAGGAGAAGGGUGACCUGCUCCAGAUCUACUUUUACGUCAACAUUACUGUUCACUGCCGUCAACUCCAGCAAUCAAGUUCUUAGCUUGCCAUUGCCAGUUAAGUGAGGACCUUUUUUGAGAUGGUGGUGAUCCUACCAUUUUUUUAUGAGCAAGAGUAUGGUAGUCUGUCAUGAAUGUUCACCCCAAAUUCACUGUAAAUCUGUUGAUAGGAAAUCCUGACUGGAGGCUUGUUUGCUACAAUAAAUACUUUUUGGUGUCAGGAAUGCUGCUUGCAAAGCAUAAAGUUUCUUGCCACAUGUCUCCUGAAUGCCAAAUGGACGAGGCUUGAUCUCCUUUUUUCCUAUGUCAUGAUCUGGGACAGGACAAAAGAGCAGUUUGUUACAUAUCAGAGCCUUACAAAUUCAGAAGAUUUUUUUUUCUGGAGAGAAUUACACCUUCAAAAAAGACUUGGUUUUCAAAAUGUGAAAAGUUUUGGGCCACUUUUAUUUAAAAUGUGGGAGAGCAAAUGGACUUACAAAUAUGAAAAAGUUUGUGUGUACAUCUCCUUAAAAAAAAAAAAGACAGCUGUGGAUUUGAACUCAGAAGCAUUACCUGGUGAGAGUAUACCACACUGGUUUGUUUUAGCUUCUCAAAACUCAGGAUGUUGCUGCCCACCUACCUUCUUUGUACUUGCUUUUGAACUUAAAAAAAAAAAGAGAUAUUUCUCUUGAACUGUCCAGAUGUUCUGUAUAAUAUUGUACACAAAGGAUUUUUCUUUUCUAAAGGCAGUUACUUCAGUAUGUCAUCUGCAGGCUGAACUUCCUUAUACAUCUUUCAGCAUGGGCAAGCUGGUGGAGGAACCAUUCUCCCUGUUUUCCUUUGGCAUGGAAUUCUUCCUGGGCAAGGCAGCUACCAGCAACUCGCUUUCUCAAAAUCACAUUAUUUGCUGGACAAAUCCAGCUUUAUUUUCUGUGUCUCUAUAGCUCUUGCUCUCCAGAAGGGCAGAGGUUCCAUGCAACACUGCUGUGAUCAUUUCAAGUGUAUUGAAAAGCUGGACUUACUCCAUGAAGAUUUUCUGGGUCACAGUGUGUUUCCAUGGAGAACUACUGUUCUCUUACUAUCUGACCUCCUCAUCCGAUCCAUUCUCAGCUACGUGCUUAUUUUAAAGAAUAGUGAUUAAGAGAACCUAUUAGUUA